rnacentral:lncRNA from 1 species
GGUCCUGGGGCUGCGGACCCCGACCCGGCGCGCGCUGCAGCCCCCGCCGAGCCAGGCCGGGCAGCUCCCCGGGGGCCCCGCCGGGAACCUGCGGGGCCGGAGAAACGGAGGCCUGAGCGGAGACAGACCCCGCUCCGGGUCCGGCUGCACCUACUCCAUGUUGCCCACACCGCGCCGGCCGCGGCGCCAGGAGGGGAAGAGCCAAACGUGCCUCACCGUGAUCGCGGCUUGCACCAACCCCUCUCCGCUGGGCUCGCUGCGUCCUGCGAUGUGCAAAUAAAAUCCAGCCCCGAUGCAAACUCCCCCCCCACCCCCCUUCUUUCCAAACUCUGCUUCGGUCCAAGUUCCGAGCGAUCGGCGGGAGGAAAAUCCGGAGCCAAGUCCCCCGCCGACGAGCAGCAAGCACUCACGCCGGGGCUCGGGGCUGGGCGCGACCCCCCUUCUGCAAACGCACGCGGAGUAUUUCCUUUUUCUCAAUGAACUGGAGGCCGAAGCGCCAACGGCCGGUCUCCCUUCCCGGCAGAUGAGCGAAGGAGAAAGAGAAAGCCGCCUCGGAGAGGGUCUACAGCCAGAUGGCCGAGCGCAGGCACCAGCGCAGACCGCCUCCCCCGCCUCGGAGCCGCGGACGGGGGGAACGGAAUGCGGAUUCGGGUUUCCAGGACUUGAUGCCCCGACCGACACUGGCUUUUGAUGGAGUCACUCUGUACUUCUUAGUUUAGUGCCGGAUCUUAUUUAUUUAUUUAUUUAUUUAUUUAUUUAUUUAUUUAUUUAUUUAUUUAUUUAUUAUUUUUAUUUAUUUAUUAUUAUUUAUUUAUUUUUCCAAGGAGACUUAGCUAAGCGAUGGGAGAUCUGCUGUUGGACGCACCAGCUGGAGGGAGCUCUACGGUCGGAGCCUUUUUAAAAUUCGUCAAUCACCUACACGGUGGCUCCAGGUCGACACGCCGGGCUCGCUGGUCGCGGCAGAGCCCCUCCACGUAACCCAAAGGCCGCCUUCAUUUCUGACUCGCCCUUGUCACCCAGAACAUUUCCCAAGAAGCUCCUGUUUGUACAUUUCGAAGGUGGUCUGCAUGCUCCCACUUUAAAAAAAUAAAAAAGUGGAAAUAAAAAGAUAGACA